ACGAGGUGCCCCUUUCGGCUGGUCAGAUAAUGGUGUGGUAAUCACUAUCUUCCCAGCUCAAGGGGCACUUCUCUUACCAAGACGCGCCGGAAUACCCACCCCCGGACGGUGGAU
rnacentral:sRNA from 1 species